AUAAAUGAAACAUUUAUAAUAAAAAUUUCAUCAAACGGUCUUUAGUUUUUAGUGAUCUUUGCUAUUGAGUUAGAAUGAUCCUAAAGUUCUUCUCUAAUCCGUAAGUAGAUUGAACUGAAAUCUUAUUUGAGGGAAGUGCUCAGUGCUACUGAGUAUAGAUAAUUCUCAGUUUGUUGGACCAGUGACAAACUCUAUUGGUGAUGUCCAAUAGCCUUUGAUAACUUGGAUGGGACAACAAUAUCUCCUUCACCAUCGACAGCUUCAUCACAUCCUUCUGUUAGCACCCAAUUUUCCCACUAUAGACAUAUCAAAUAUAGACAAAUUAGUGUGUUGUUGUGUUGUGUUGUUGUCCUGUUUGUCUCUUUCAUAUUUUUCUGUUGAAGUCUAGUUCCAGAAGAGCAGUUAGGACUGAAAUCUCUCUAUUUAACAGGACUUUACUGAAACAGUUCAGCAACACUCAGGAUCCACAUUUAUGGAUUUGUUCAGUAGGAAAUAUGCUCGUCUACUGAUUAUUGGAAUCGGAUUAAUGGCUCUCGUGCAGUUAGGAGGGAACAAUGCAAUAACUUCUUUUGCCAGUUCAAUUUUUAGAGCAGCUGGUUGUUCGGCAGACUCAGCAUCUCAAGUCAUGGUUGUUCUCCAGCUUCCAUUUGCAGUCGCGAGUAUUAUCCUUACAGAAAAAGCUGGAAGACGACUUCUUAUGCUGGCACCAUGUACGCACAAGAUUGUUAGAAGAACAUUCCUACUUUGCAACAGUAAUGCAGUUUCCUCAGGGACUGCUGUUCUACCAGCAUCCUCCUCUGUCAGACCAAGCAGUAAACCUAGUUCUAUUCAACGAAGUGAUGCAAUUGUGCCUAAGAUCACUGCCAUUCCUCUUCCUGCCACUUGCACCAUGACAUUUCUCCAUCUCACUCAGAUAUCUUAGUCUCCAUGGAUGAAUCUAUGGACACAGUGAGAAGUCUAUUCAACAUGUACAGUUUCCUCUUUAUCAAUUACUUUAUGGCUUUGGAGGAAUCUUGACAAGAUUGACAACAUUCAACAACUUAGGAAAUUGGAGGACUCAAUUUCAAAAUCUCUUAACGAAAUCGCAAAGCAUAAGGGAUUUUGAGAAAGUGAAGUUCAGGGAAAUGUUACUUUCUGACCUGGAACUUCCAUUGGAAAGGGACAAGAAAAGAAAGGUGACAUUGAACUGAAGUUCUUUGAAUUACAUGACUUGAAAGCCGUGACAGACAUUUUUUCCCCUGAUAAUAAGCUUGGCGAAGGAGGUUUUGGGACUGUUUUCAAGGUAAUGGAGCCAGGUGCAAGGGGGUCUUAUUUGAAGGAUUAAGAGAAGACAGAAAUGUACAAGAAGCAUAAGGAAAACCCAGAGUUGUAUACAGUUGAGUGCUUAGCAAAAGAUUACAGGAUCAUGAGGCAGAGGGUUCAUGCAAUUCUAUGGCUGAAGGAACUUGAGGAGGAGGAGGAAAAGAAGAAGCUUGGGCGUUCAUUGGAUGACUCGGUUGAGCUCUUGCUUGAUGCAUGCCCAGAGCAUAUGUUCAACAGUUGGAGAGCAGCAGGAUGAAGCUGACACAACUAGAACAGGAGCUUCAACGAGCUCGGCAACAGGUUUGUUCAGUAAAUCCUGUGUCCUUAUCUGUUUCUUUCUUUGAUCACCUAAAUAUCUAGCACCUCUUUAGAAAUUAGCUCACAAUCUCUCCGAUCAGUUUUUUAAGACAAUGUUUUUCUUUCCCCAAAGGAAAUAUUUAUUUCAGGUUCAGGAAACCAAUCACAGUCGAUGAGUGGAAAUGGAGCUUUGGCAUUUGAUGUAGAAUAUGCCUGAUGGUUGGAAAAGCAGAACCGACGAAUUAAUGAGUUAAGGGG